rnacentral:antisense_RNA from 1 species
CUUCACCGAGCCGAGCAGCAACGGCGUCGACCGGUCCCGGCCGUAGGUCGCGAGCAGCGCCUGCGCCUC